ACUUAAUUCCUUUCUGACUUAUUAAGAUCAAAGAAAUUGUAUUAACUUUAUGGAAUUCUCUAAAACUGGUUUUGUGGCCUAAAAUAUGGUCUAUUUUAGAGAAAGUUUCAUGAGCAGCUGAGAAAAGAGUGUAUUAAGCUAUUGUUGAAUAAAACAUUCUGUAGGUACCUGUUCCUUCCAUUAGAUUUAAAAUAUUUUGUAGGUUUGAGGUGUCUUUGCUAAUUUUGUGUUGAAUGGCAUAUCUAUUGGUGAGAGAGUUAUGUUGAAAUUAUUCAAUAUUAUUGUGCCAGGAUAUCUGAGCUUUUAUGUUUGUUUAUGGGAUUAGAUGCAUUGAUAUUUGGUACAUAAACAUUUUCUAUUGUUUAUCUUCUUCAUAAAUCUAUCCCAUUACCAUUAUCUGGUGACCUUCUUCAUCCCUUCUGAUUGAUUUUGAUUCGAAGUCUGCUUUGUUGGAUAUGAGGGUCACUACUCCUGCUCAUUUUUAGACUCUGUUUAAUGAAAAUUGACUUUCUAUACUUUCACUUUUAGUCCAUGGAUGUCUGUGCCUGUUUGUGUGUCUCUUGCAAGCAAGACAUAGUGUUUUGUUUUUUGUUUGUUUGUUUGUUUGUUUUUUUGUAAUUCAAUCUACCAGUGUGUCCUUUACUUGGAAAGUUGAGAUCAUUUACAUUCGGUGUUAUUAUAGAAAUAUUCAACUGAAUUUUUUUUUUACUUAUUGAAUCUUCUUUUCUAAUAUUUAUAUUAGAUUCUUCUCUUUGGGGAGGGUCCUGGGGCACUAGACCACUGAGCCACAUCUCUGGCCUUAUUUUUU
rnacentral:lncRNA from 1 species